rnacentral:lncRNA from 1 species
GUACGUUUAAGCUGCUCGCUCUCACCUCUUUUUAUAGCAAAUGGAAAUGAAAGGCAAUUGCCAGGGUGAAAUUAAUCUCAGUCAAAGGAAAAGGCAGAUGAGCUAUAAACAAUGGAACUCUGAGCUAAAGAAAUGCAAGCAACUGGCAGGUGGGCUGACAUCAGCUUGAGGUGAACAACAAAGGAAAAUGCUGGAACAAUCAUCCCAGACUGAGAAACGCAGGGUAAAAAUGUCAGAAGUUGUGAAGACAUCUGAUUCCCGCUGUCAAAUGCAGCUUUUGAAUUCAGAGUUUAAACUUAACAAGGUGGAAGCAAGCCUGCAUUUUUUUCCCCUGUUGAUUGAAAUGGGAGCAUGA